GAUGAACGCUAGCGAUAGGCCUAACACAUGCAAGUCGAGGGGCAUCACAUGAAGUAGCAAUACGGAUGGUGGCGACCGGCGCACGGGUGAGUAACACGUAUGCAACCUGCCUUCAACAAGGGGAUAACCCGUUGAAAGACGGACUAAUACCCUAUAACACAGGGGUCCCGCAUGGGGAUAUUUGUUAAAGGACAACCGGUUGAAGAUGGGCAUGCGUUCCAUUAGCUAGUUGGCGGGGUAACGGCCCACCAAGGCACAC
rnacentral:rRNA from 1 species